rnacentral:rRNA from 1 species
AACGAACGCUGGCGGCAUGCCUAACACAUGCAAGUCGAACGAACCCUUCGGGGUUAGUGGCGCACGGGUGCGUAACGCGUGGGAAUCUGCCCUUUGCUUCGGAAUAACAGUUAGAAAUGACUGCUAAUACCGGAUGAUGUCUUCGGACCAAAGAUUUAUCGGCAAGGGAUGAGCCCGCGUAGGAUUAGGUAGUUGGUGGGGUAAAGGCCUACCAAGCCGACGAUCCUUAGCUGGUUUGAGAGGAUGAUCAGCCACACUGGGACUGAGACACGGCCCAGACGCCUACGGGAGGCAGCAGUGGGGAAUAUUGGACAAUGGGCGCAAGCCUGAUCCAGAAAUGCCGCGUGAGUGAUGAAGGCCUUCGGGUCGUAAAGCUCUUUUACCAGGGAUGAUAAUGACAGUACCUGGAGAAUAAGCUCCGGCUAACUCCGUGCCAGCCGCCGCCGUAA